rnacentral:rRNA from 1 species
UACGGGGGGGGCAAGCGUUGUUCGGAAUUACUGGGCGUAAAGGGCUCGUAGGCGGCCAACUAAGUCAGACGUGAAAUCCCUCGGCUUAACCGGGGAACUGCGUCUGAUACUGGAUGGCUUGAGGUUGGGAGAGGGAUGCGGAAUUCCAGGUGUAGCGGUGAAAUGCGUAGAUAUCUGGAGGAACACCGGUGGCGAAGGCGGCAUCCUGGACCAAUUCUGACGCUGAGGCGCGAAAGCGUGGGGAGCAAACGGG